rnacentral:rRNA from 1 species
UACAGAGGGGGCAAGCGUUAUUCGGAAUUACUGGGCGUAAAGCGCACGUAGGCGGACUAUUAAGUCAGGGGUGAAAUCCCGGGGCUCAACCCCCGGAACUGCCUUUGAUACUGGUAGUCUCGAGUCCGGAAGAGGUGAGUGGAAUUCCCGAGUGUAGAGGUGAAAUUCGUAGAUAUUCGGAGGAACACCAGUGGCGAAGGCGGGCUCACUGGUCCGGUACUGACGCUGAGGUGCGAAAGCGUGGGGAGCAAACAGG